GUUAUAGCCGAUAUGUAAGAAGACAAUUAUCUAUCUAUUAAAUACCUUUUGCAUAAUGGCUUUACUAUUAUAAAAGAAUUUAUCUUUUACCCGAAAUAGGAAGAUCUAUUUUACUAUGAUAUAUAUAUAGCAUAAUAUAGGGUUAAUUUAAAAUAGGAGCGAAAGGCUUUCAAUUCCUAAGAUAUCUGGUUUCAGGUCACAUAUAUAUAGUAUAGGAUAAUCUCUCAAACACAAAAUGUUAAGGUUUCGUGUAGCUAUAAAAAUCUAUUACUUAAUACCAUACAAUAUAAUUGCAUGGACAUAUAAGUUGAAUUAUACUAGUUUAUUUAUGGAAUUAGAGCCUAACACUUAUUAAAUUUCUAAUAAAGUAAAUAAUGUAAAGAUUAGUAUUUCAACUAAAAUUAUAAAUAAGGAACUCGGCAAAUCUUUGCUCAACUGUUUAACAAAAACAUAGCCUAAUGACUUUUAUAUAUUAGGUGAAGUCUGCCCGGUGAUUAUAUUUAACGGCCGCAGUACUUUGACUGUGCUAAGGUAGCAAAAUAAAUAGGCUUUUAAUUAAGGUCGAGUAUGAAUGGCAUUAUGGGUGAAAGCUGUCUUAUAUAUAUAAUAAUAAUUUGCUUAGUGGGUGAAAAUACCCACAUAAAAAUAUUAGACGAGAAGACCCUUAGAGUUUUAAAUAAGUGUGUAACAAAUAUGCUAUAGUUUUUUGUUGGGGCGACAAAGUACCAUAUAGCGUACUACAUAAUAUUUUACAAAUAUAUCCCAUAAAAAUGAAUAUAACUACCUAAGGGAUAACAGCAUAAUUUUAUUUUAAGAUUGUGACCUCGAUGUUGGACUAGGGACUAAAUAUAUAAGCCAUAUAUUUAGAAUAUUCUGUUCGAAUAAUUUUUACCUACAUGAUCUGAGUUCAGACCGGUGUAAGCCAGGUCAGUUUCUAUCUUUUAUAUAUAUAGGACCAGUACGAAAGGACCUUCUUAUAGUGAAAACUCA
rnacentral:rRNA from 1 species